AGUGAACGCUGGCGGUAGGCCUAACACAUGCAAGUCGAACGGCAGCACAGUAAGAGCUUGCUCUUACGGGUGGCGAGUGGCGGACGGGUGAGGAAUACAUCGGAAUCUACUUUUUCGUGGGGGAUAACGUAGGGAAACUUACGCUAAUACCGCAUACGAACUACGGGUGAAAGCAGGGGAUCUUCGGACCUUGCGCGAUUGAAUGAGCCGAUGUCGGAUUAGCUAGUUGGCGGGGUAAAGGCCCACCAAGGCGACGAUCCGUAGCUGGUCUGAGAGGAUGAUCAGCCACACUGGAACUGAGACACGGUCCAGACUCCUACGGGAGGCAGCAGUGGGGAAUAUUGGACAAUGGGCGCAAGCCUGAUCCAGCCAUACCGCGUGGGUGAAGAAGGCCUUCGGGUUGUAAAGCCCUUUUGUUGGGAAAGAAAAGCAGCAGGUUAAUACCACGCUGUUCUGACGGUACCCAAAGAAUAAGCACCGGCUAACUUCGUG
rnacentral:rRNA from 1 species